rnacentral:rRNA from 1 species
AUGAACGCUAGCGGCAGGCCUAAUACAUGCAAGUCGCACGGGUGGUCGCAAGACCACUAGUGGCGCACGGGUGCGUAACGCGUAACCAACCUGCCCCGAUCUGGGGGAUAGCCCGCCGAAAGGCGGAUUAAUACCGCAUAUACCCGCAGCCUGGCAUCAGGCAACGGGGAAAGAUUUAUUGGAUCGGGAUGGGGUUGCGUGACAUUAGCUAGUUGGCGGGGUAAGGGCCCACCAAGGCGACGAUGUCUAGGGGACCUGAGAGGGUGAUCCCCCACACUGGCACUGAGAUACGGGCCAGACUCCUACGGGAGGAAGCAGUAGGGAAUAAUGGGCAAUGGGCGAGAGCCUGACCCAGCCAUGCCGCGUGCCGGAUGAAGGCCUUCUGGGUUGUAAACGGCUUUUCUCAGGGAAGAAAAAGACCUUGCGAGGUACACUGACGGUACCUGAGGAAUAAGCACCGGCUAACUCCGUG